GAUGAACGCUAGCGGCAGGCUUAAUACAUGCAAGUCGAGGGACAGCACAGGUAGCAAUACUGGGUGGUAACCGGCAAACGGGUGCGGAACACGUACACAACCUUCCUUUAAGUGGGGGAUAGCCCAGAGAAAUUUGGAUUAAUACCCCGUAAUAUAGUUGAAUGGCAUCAUUUGAUUAUUAUAGCUACGGCGCUUAAUGAUGGGUGUGCGGCUGAUUAGAUAGUUGGCGGGGUAACGGCCCACCAAGUCUACGAUCAGUAGCUGAUGUGAGGGAAUGAUCAGCCACGCGGGCACUGAGACACGGGCCCGACUCCUACGGGAGGCAGCAGUAAGGAAUAUUGGUCAAUGGACGCAAGUCUGAACCAGCCAUGCCGCGUGAAGGACUAAGGUCCUCUGGAUUGUAAACUUCUUUUAUUUGGGACGAAAAAGGGCCUUUCUAGGUCAACUGACGGUACCAGAUGAAUAAGCACCGGCUAACUCCGUGCCAGCAGCCGCAGUAACAC
rnacentral:rRNA from 1 species